rnacentral:lncRNA from 1 species
CUGUAAUACUUUGCCCCAGAGGAGGAAGUCACAAAGCCCUGCCUGGCUUCCUUAAGAGUAGAUAGGAGACAGACUGUCUUGCUUCCAGCACUUUGGCAAGCUAAGAAACAACUCGCUCUGCACAGUGCUCUUACAGCCUACCGGGAACAUCUCUCACAAAGGCCUGUGAAACACAGUUUCUUUCCAGCCCUGAUAUCGCUGAAGUAGAACUUCUGCUCUGCCGUGUCCUACACUGCCCUAGACAUGCAAGCCACAAUGUCCUGCCUUGUUUCCUCAAGGGGAGACAGGCCACAAAGCGUCUUGCUUCCACCUCUUUGGGAAGCUAAGAAACAACUCGCUCUCCUCAGUGCUCUUACAGCCUACCAGGAACAUUUCUCA